rnacentral:lncRNA from 1 species
CCGGCGCUGGCACUUAUUCUGACAUUUUCUGCUCCGACGUCCUUUGGGAAAAUGGCCAUAACUUCUUCGUCCGAACUCCGAUUUCGAUAAUUCGAGAUGAUACGGAAAGAUGAGAAGUAGGUCUACAACUUUCAUUCUUUAAGUGUUUCAAAAUAAGGUACAGAGCUAUACUCAAAUUGGCUCUAAAGUGACUGCUGUGUAAAUGACAAGCCGAAAACGCGAAUCUAGCCACCCCAAACGUCGAUCCAAG